rnacentral:rRNA from 1 species
GCAUCGAUGAAGAACGCAGCGAAAUGCGAUAAGUAAUGUGAAUUGCAGAAUUCAGUGAAUCAUCGAAUCUUUGAACGCACCUUGCGCUCCUUGGUAUUCCGAGGAGCAUGCCUGUUUGAGUGUCAUGAAAACCCUCAACCCUAGAUUGGUUAAAACCUCUCUUUGGUUUGGAUUUGGACGUUUGCCGAUGAUAAGUCGGCUCGUCUUAAAAGUAAUAGCUGGAUCUGUCUCGCGACAUGGUUUGACUUGGCGUAAUAAGUAUUUCGCUAAGGACAUCUUCGGAUGGCCGCGUUGCAGGACUAAAGACCGCUUUCUAAUCCAUUGAUCUUCGGAUUAAUACUCUUGACAUCUGGCCUCAAAUCAGGUAGGACUACCCGCUGAACUUAAGCAUAUCAAUAAGCGGAGGA